GCUGGGUGUAGUGGUCUGCUUGUAGUUCCAGCUACUUGGGAGGCUGAGGGAGGAGGAUCACUUGAGUCCAGCAAUUCUGGGUUGUAGUGUGCUAUGCCUAUCAGUUGUCUGCACUAAGUUUGUCAUCAAUUUCAUGUCCUCCUGGGAAUAGGAGACCAACAGGUUCCCUAAGAAGAGGUGAACCAGCCUAAGUUGGAAACGGAGCAAGUCAAAACUGCCGUACUGGUCAGUAGUGGGAUCUCACGCGUAAAGAGCUAUACUGCAUUCCAACCUGGGCAACAUAGUGAGAUCCUGUCUCU
rnacentral:SRP_RNA from 1 species